rnacentral:lncRNA from 1 species
CUUGCACCAUCCUGUAUCCAGUGCUCAAAAGCCAGUGUGGCUGGUGGCUGCCAUAUUGGACAGCAUAGAUAUUGAAUACUUCCAUCGCCUCUAGACUGAAGAGAUGGGAGCCCAGGGGCAGUGCACCGAGGGGAAGGAAUAGCUAAAGCAAAGGUCUAGUAGCCUGAAAAAACUUGGAGAAAAGAUGGCCCCUCCAUGAGGCCGAGUGAGAGGAAGGAAGCCUUGGCUGGGACCCUGCCACAUCCAAUGUCACCGGCAGAUGGGUACACCCCCUUUUCCCCAUGCAUGGAUUCAGCUGUCCCACAGACACAUUGACUCAGGCCCUUGGAACUACUUCCUGUCUUGCCUUAGCACGUAGACAUCACACACAUGCAUCCACUCAGGUGGGCAGUCUCAGGCCCUGCUCCCACUGCUG